UACGGAGGGGGCUAGCGUUGCUCGGAAUUACUGGGCGUAAAGCGCGCGUAGGCGGCUCUUUAAGUCGGGGGUGAAAUCCUGGAGCUCAACUCCAGAACUGCCUUCGAUACUGUAGAGCUUGAGUUCGGGAGAGGUGAGUGGAACUGCGAGUGUAGAGGUGAAAUUCGUAGAUAUUCGCAAGAACACCAGUGGCGAAGGCGGCUCACUGGCCCGAUACUGACGCUGAGGUGCGAAAGCGUGGGGAGCAAACAGG
rnacentral:rRNA from 1 species